CCACUGGGUUUUAUAUGGAAACCAAGUUGACAAUAAACUAAAAAUUAAGAUCUUGAUACAUCUGGUCAAAUGGCUCUGUAUCUUUUGGGAGUAGGAGGCUAUGGUUCCAAGUAUAUUAGUAGGCAGCACCAUUUCUUCAGAGUUGCCCAAAAUGCUCAGGGCUGAGCCAACAGGAAGCUGCCUUCAUAAGAAAUCCUGGGACCUAGUCAUUCAUUCAAAUAGGCCCCAUGGGCCUGUGUGCCUAGAAGAUAGCUUUUGAACAUGAUCCUGAAGGAUCCUGCAAGGUCCACUCAAAAGAGAUACUAACAGUAGAAGACUCUAGUCCUGGUUGAUGAACAAUGAAGUCAGAUCUCCUGAAGACAGCAUUAACAGAGCUCAUAGAGGAGGGGUGAAAAAGAAAAAACAAACAACCCAUCCAGCACCUGCUUCACUGCAAAUUUCCAGGGGACAAAAUGUCUGCAUUCUGUACUUCAGUCUCACCCUACAGCAUCCAUAUGUGUUUGAUCUGACUAACCUGAAUAGGAGCUCAAUUUCAGCACCCCAAGGGGAAAAAACCCAUCCAUGACCAUCAUAGAUGAAAACAAAAUGUCAUUGGAAUCGGUUAAUUUUCCCCAAGACAACCCAUUGAGCAGAAGUUAUGAAUCUGCAAGCAAAUCAUGAAAGGCACAGCUCCCCUGAAAACACAUUUUUGUUGACUGCUUCAUUGAAUAUUCUUAACAACGAUUCUUGAUGAACAACUCUUUCCAUCCUGUAAGCAUAGUGUACACAGUCUCGCUGCUCUGUGGAUUUAUGUCCUUGAACAAGAAGCCUGGUUCACAGAUAGUGACAAGCCUAAUCAAAAAAAGUCUUAGAAAUCUCUUCAUUAGGACAAUUCAUUCAGCAGAAGUUAAGACUGUGCAAGCAAACCAUGAAAGGCACAGCUCACCUGACCACACAUUUUUGUUUAUUGCUUCACUGAAUAUUCUUUACAAUGAUUCUUGAUGAAUGACUCUUUCCAUCCUGUAAACAUAGUGUGCACAGUCUCGCUAGUCUGUGGAUUCACAUCCUUGAACAAGAAGCCUGGUUCACAAAACCAGAAAGACUAUUGAAUACUGAAAAGGAACUCAGGGUUGAAGGCGGGGGUGAAGGGAGGUGGUGGUAAUGGAGGAGGGC